AGCGAACGCUGGCGGCAGGCCUAACACAUGCAAGUCGAACGAACUCUUCGGAGUUAGUGGCGGACGGGUGAGUAACACGUGGGAACGUGCCUUUAAGUUCGGAAUAACUCAGGGAAACUUGUGCUAAUACCGAAUGUGCCCUUCGGGGGAAAGAUUUAUCGCCUUUAGAGCGGCCCGCGUCUGAUUAGCUAGUUGGUGAGGUAAAGGCUCACCAAGGCGACGGUCAGUAGCUGGUCUGAGAGGAUGAUCAGCCACAUUGGGACUGAGACACGGCCCAAACUCCUACGGGAGGCAGCAGUGGGGAAUCUUGCGCAAUGGGCGAAAGCCUGACGCAGCCAUGCCGCGUGAAUGAUGAAGGUCUUAGGAUUGUAAAAUUCUUUCACCGGGGACGAUAAUGACGAUACCCGGAGAAGAAGCCCCGGCUAACUUCGUGCCAGCAGCCGCAGUAA
rnacentral:rRNA from 1 species